AGUGAACGCUGGCGGUAGGCCUAACACAUGCAAGCCGAACGGCAGCACAGUAAGAGCUUGCUCUUACGGGUGGCGAGUGGCGGACGGGUGAGGAAUACAUCGGAAUCUACUUUUUCGUGGGGGAUAACGUAGGGAAACUUACGCUAAUACCGCAUACGACCUACGGGUGAAAGCAGGGGAUCUUCGGACCUUGCGCGAUUGAAUGAGCCGAUGUCGGAUUAGCUAGUUGGCGGGGUAAAGGCCCACCAAGGCGACGAUCCGUAGCUGGUCUGAGAGGAUGAUCAGCCACACUGGAACUGAGACACGGUCCAGACUCCUACGGGAGGCAGCAGUGGGGAAUAUUGGACAAUGGGCGCAAGCCUGAUCCAGCCAUACCGCGUGGGUGAAGAAGGCCUUCGGGUUGUAAAGCCCUUUUGUUGGGAAAGAAAAGCAGCAGGUUAAUACCCCGCUGUUCUGACGGUACCCAAAGAAUGAGCACCGGCUAACUUCGUG
rnacentral:rRNA from 1 species